CUUUUUUUUAUCUACGUGCACGAGUCGUUAGUGAUACAAUUUGAUAUCUUUUAUAAUCGAAAAAUCUAUGUAUGCUAGUGAAACACGACACAAAACUAAAUAGAUAAAUAAUGUGUUUCUUUACUCUUUUUCAUCUACGUACACGAGUUGUUAGUGAUACAAUUUGGUAUCUUUUAUAAUCGAAAAAUCUAUGUAUGCUAGUUAAAUACGACACAAUACUAUAUAGAUAAAUAAUAUGUUUCUUUAUCCUUUUUCAUCUACGUACACGAGUUGUUAGUGAUAAAAUUGAAUUUAUUUUAUAAUAAAAAAUUAUAUAUAUGCUAGUUAAACACGACACGAAAUUCAGCAGAAAAAUAAUUUGUUUCUUUCCUCUUUUUAUCUACUUACACAAAUUGUUCGUGAUAAAAUUUGAAUUCAUUAAUCAACUUUGUCAUUUUAAAAAAAAGUGCUUUUUUUUAAUUCUUAUCAUUUUCUAAAAAAAAAAGAAAAACUAAAAAUCAUCAACUAACAGCAUUAAUUUUCUUUUUCAAUUUUUGCCAAAAAUGAAAUACUAAAUUACUUUGGAUUAAAACUGGAAGUUAUUUUGUAAAAAAAUAUUGGAGCACUUUCUGGAAACAAAGCUAACUUGGCAGCAAAAAACAGAUCCCAUGGAAAUACUAAUCCCAAAACUUAAUAAUAAUAUAUAUAUAUAUUUUUUUUCUUUCUUUCUUCUAAGAUAAGUAUUGUCAUUAUAGCUACAACAAACUCUUAAAUAUAUAUAAUUUAAUUUAUAAAAAUUCAUAUUUCAUUAAAUUAUCUCAUAUAAUCAACAAAAUUACCACCAAAUUGUUUUAGAUAUUUUUAUAAUUUUAAGAAAUAAUUAAUUUAUAAUAUUAAUGAGACAUGUAUUUAUAUAAAGAUCUUUCGAGAAUAUAUUAUCUUUCAUCAAAAUCAGUAAUUUUUUUCCACGGGGCUUAGUUAGGAUCAGGAAAAAAAUAUUAUCUUAUGGCGUUUACUAAUUUAGAGAAAUUUUAAAUUUUAUUGUGACAUGCAAAUUCAUGAUAUUUGUAAUGCCAACUAUUUUAUUGCACGCAAUUGUCCCUCAAAAUCUUUCGCUUAUUUUAUCAUUAUGCUAUUUUAUUUAUACCAUAAACUAAUUCAUAAAUAAUAUAAAUAUAUAUUCUUAUAGACCAUAUCAAACUAUUAAUAUUAAUAUGGUAGAGUUUGAAAUGUGAACAAAUAAUUUUCCACAUUUGGAAAAACGUGCAACUUGCGUGUACCCAAGUUGUCUUUAUUAUAUUCACACAGAAAAUAAAAUAAAAGUGUAGGUGAGGUGAAGGCCAGGCCACUAGCAAUUAGUAUAAAGACAUGAAAUAUGCUGACAAAGGUGUGAGCUGGAACUGAUUCGGAGCAUUUUUCAAGACUCAAGAACGUAUUGUAAUUUUACCAGAGAAGGAGAAUCAUUUUAUGGAUAAGAAAGAAUCUGGCAAGGAAAUUUCUGAAGAAGUGACUCGGGAGUCACUAAUCGCCAUAUCAUAUAGUGAACCAGAGAGAGAUCCUUCUGUUGAAUCUGUACCUGUAAAUUCCAACUACGAGAACGUGGUGAAAUCUCUUAACGACGCAAGAGAUGAUAAAUACAGGUCGGAGUUGAUCUCAAUAUCCUAUGAAGAGUCACCAGACACUGAAGUUCAACCUGGAGAGUUGAAGGGCUAACUAAUAGAUAAUUUACUAGUUUUGUAGUCCAACUCCAUGUUAAAACUCUUUUUUGCUUUACUAUAUGUUGUUACUCAUAAAGAACUAGACAUUGUUUGAACUUGUAAUGUUUUCAUGUGUUACACCUUAUAAAGUCUGUUGUUGUAAUCAUUGGGGGAGGCACUUUUUACUUGGCAGAAAAGUUAGGUAAUAUGUGUAGAUAAUUUGUUAUAGGUUGGCAUUGCUUAAACAUAACACAAAGUAAAUAUCAAUUUGUGAUAUAAAUACUUUAAUAGAGCAUUACAAUCUCAAAUUCAAA